AGUCGAGGGGCAGCAUGAUUUGUAGCAAUACAGAUUGAUGGCGACCGGCGCACGGGUGAGUAACGCGUAUGCAACUUACCUAUCAGAGGGGGAUAGCCCGGCGAAAGUCGGAUUAAUACCCCAUAAAACAGGGGUCCCGCAUGGGAAUAUUUGUUAAAGAUUCAUCGCUGAUAGAUAGGCAUGCGUUCCAUUAGGCAGUUGGCGGGGUAACGGCCCACCAAACCGACGAUGGAUAGGGGUUCUGAGAGGAAGGUCCCCCACAUUGGUACUGAGACACGGACCAAACUCCUACGGGAGGCAGCAGUGAGGAAUAUUGGUCAAUGGCCGAGAGGCUGAACCAGCCAAGUCGCGUGAAGGAAGAAGGAUCUAUGGUUUGUAAACUUCUUUUAUAGGGGAAUAAAGUGGAGGACGUGUCCUUUUUUGUAUGUACCCUAUGAAUAAGCAUCGGCUAACUCCGUGCCAGCAGCCGCGGUAAUACGGAGGAUGCGAGCGUUAUCCGGAUUUAUUGGGUUUAAAGGGUGCGUAGGUGGUGAUUUAAGUCAGCGGUGAAAGUUUGUGGCCCAACCAUAAAAUUGCCGUUGAAACUGGGUUACUUGAGUGUGUUUGAGGUAGGCGGAAUGCGUGGUGUAGCGGUGAAAUGCAUAGAUAUCGCGCAGAACUCCGAUUGCGAAGGCAGCUUACUAAACC
rnacentral:rRNA from 1 species